UUUUUUUUUUUGAGACCGAGUUUCGCUCUUGUUACCCAGGCUGGAGUGCAAUGGCGUCAUCUCGGCUCACUGCAACCUCCGCCUCCUGGGUUCAGGCAAUUCUCCUGCCUCAGCCUCCUGAGUAGCUGAGAUUACAGGCACGCACCACCAUGUCCAGCUAAUUUUUUUGUAUUUUUAGUAGAGACGGGGUUUCACCAUGUUGACCAGGAUGGUCUCGAUCUCUUGACCUCGUGAUCCACCCGCCUUGGCCUCCCAAAGUGCUGGGAUUACAGGCUUGAGCCACCGUGUCCGACGAUAGCUGCUGUCUUAAGGCUGUCAUUCCUUUAUUAGCAGAGGGAAAGCAAAACAAUAAAUAUAAUAAGUAAAUUAUUCAGCAUGCCAGAAAGUUGAUUACAUGUUGUGGAAAAUAAAUUCUUAAAAGUGUAAGGAGAUUGUGUAGGUCUCACUGAGGGGUGAGAGAGUAAGUGUUCUGAAUCGGAGUGCAGACAAAGCAAAGGCCUAAGACAGGCAUGUGCCCAAGGAGGCCAGUGUGGCUGGAGUAGAAUGAAAUAAGAUGGGAGUAGAGACAAGGAGGCUAAGUCAGGGAAAUAAGAGAGGAACAAAUGGUUUAGGGAAGUGAGUCUUCUAAUGUGAUCCUCAGACCUGCAGUCUCAGCCUCAUCUGAAACUUGUUAGAAAUGAAGAUUCUGGCCUGGCGUGGUGGCUCACUCCUGUACUCUCAACACUCUGGGAGGCUGAGGCGGGUGGAUCACCUGAGGUUGGAAGUUCGAGACCAGCUUGACCAACAUGGAGAAACCCUGUCUCUACUAAAAAUACAAAAUUAGCCGGGUGUUGUGGUGUAUGCAUGUAAUCCAGCUACUCGGUAGGCUGAGGCAGGAGAAUCACUUGAACCCAGGAGGUGGAGGUUGUGGUGAGCCAAGAUUGUGCCAUUGCACUCCAGCCUGGGCAACAAAAUCGAAACUCUGUCUCAAAAAAAAGAAAGAAAUGAAGAUUCUAAGACCCUAAGACAUCACCCCAGAUUUAUUCAAUCACAAACUCUGGGGUUGGGGACUAGCAAUCCAUUUUAGCAAGUCUUCCAGAUGAUUCUGAUAAAUGAUGAAGUCCAAGAACCACUGUGGAACUUUGUAGACAAUUGUAAGGACUCUGGCCUAUCAGUGCCCCCCAGCCAGAGACCAUCAGGAACACACCUGUACUUAAACUUGUUUAAUAGUUCUUAAUAGUUCAUUAUUAAUAGUUCUUGAAGCAGGUGCUGUGGAGAACCAUUGGGACAGCUUGGUGAGAGUGAGAGAACCUAUUAUAGGAUUUGGGCAAUUUGCCGGAGGGCCAAGAAAGCCAGGCUUCACCCUGGAUUAGGUGCUAUCAGAAAGCAGGGACAUUUCUGUAACUAGGUACCUGAAUAAGUAUUGUCUGUAAGAUGGACAGAUGAAAGUGAGGAUAAAGCUAUACUUGGUAAAGAAGCAGCAGUCACUCAUAGUAGCAGAGGACGUUUGGUUUUUCAUGGCUUGCACGGUGACUUUGCUCUCUUGUCUCUGCUUAGACAAAAUUAUGAAAUGGCCUUGUUGUGUCUCACUUUUUUAUAGUAUGACCUUGUCUGAUAUUGGUGUUCUAUGAGAUUAUGUCCCACAUUAGAAUAACUGGGCCAAGCUGUGAGCACCAGUCCAGCUUCUCACAACCCUGAAGUCUAGCAGUGUCAGACCAUCUCUCAGAUGUCAGGGCCUGCCUCUUUCUCAGGCUUUUAAUCUGGGAGAAAGAGAAAGCCACUGGGAGGUUUUGAACAGAAGAGUGACAUGAUCUGACUGAGCUUUAAAAAAAUAUUAAUAACUCUGUGGUAUUGUGAAGAGGCAGUAGCUUGGGGCAAGAGUAGAAGUCAGAAGACAAGGUAGGAGGAAGAUUACAGAGAAAGUUAAAGGAUAGAAAGCCUGUUAAGUGUAUCUCAGCCAGAUCUAACCAACCUUGAAACAGAACUGCCAGGGGCUCCAAGUUCUAAUAGAUCCUGCCAGAAAUCCAUUGUAUAAGGAAAAGAUACCAAUUUAGCAGCAAGGCCAAGGCAAGAUUCUGCCUUUUUUUUUUUUUUUUUUGAGACAGAGUUUCACUCUUGUUGCCCUGGCUGGAGUGCAAUGGCGCGAUCUCAGCUCACCACAGCCUGGGUUGAAGCGAUUCUCCUGCUUUAGCCUCUCAAGAGUAGCUGGGAUUACAGGCACACAUCACCACAGCUGGUUAAUUUUGUAUUUUUAGUAGAGAUGGGGUUUCUCCAUGUUGGUCAGGCUGGUCUCAAACUCCCAGCCUCAGAUGGUCCGCCUGCCUUGGCCUCCCAAAGUGCUGAGAUUACAGGUGUGAGCCACCGCACCCAGCCUCUUCCAUCUUUUAUGAAAGAGCCUUUUGGCCAGGCGCGGUGGCUCACGCCCAUAAUCCCAGCACUUUGGAAGGCUGAGGUGGGUGGAUCACAAGGUCAAUAGAUUGAGACCAUCCUGGCCAACAUAGUGAAACCCUGUCUCUACUAAAAUAUAAAAAUUAGCUGGGCAUGGUGGCACACACUUGUAGUCCCAGCUACUCAGGAGGCUAAGGCAGCAGAAUUGCUUGAACCCGGGAGGUGGAGGUUGCAGUGAGCCAAGAUCGUGCCACUGCACUCCAGCCUGGCACCUAGUGACAGAGCAAGACUCUGUCUCAAAAAAAAAAAAAUUGCUUGAACCCGGGAGUGUGUGUGUAUGUGUGUGUGUGUGUGUGUGUGUGUGUACAGCCUAUUUCCUUGUUUCUGAGAUUCUGUUGAAUAAGAGAUGUAUUAGUGAUAGCUUUUGGGGGGAGAAGAAGACUACAAAAUUAAACAUACAUACCGAUUUUAACAAACUUAUUUCAAAGGAGUUUAAGUGUGAAAUAGAGAAUAUGUGUAUAAUUGUCUCCAUUUUAUAGAUAGGGAAACCAAAGACUAAGGUUAAAUUACUGCAGAAUAUGAUGUCAAAGACUGUCUUUCUAAUCUAUGUAUUAUACUGCCUCUCACUGUGUGUGAAUGUGAUGACACUUUGUGAUUAAUAGUCGAGGAAGGCCAGGCGCGGUGGCAUUCCUGGACUACAUGUAAUAACAUGACUAUUACAUGUAGAAUAGUCUAUUUUAGAUUAUUAUAUGUAACACUUCCUACCCCUUCUUUAGUCGAUCACUUGCUCCUAGUUGAUAAUUCUCUUUAUUAAAAUUUUCAAAUUACUGUGUUUUCUGUCUCCUGACUGGACCUGACCUACUGUAUCAUUGGGAGCAAGAUGAAAUAAACUAGAAUAUUAUGCAAAAAUUAAAAGGAAUAACUUAGACGAGGCACAGUGGCUCACACCUGUAAUCUCAGCAUUUUGGAGGCUGAGGCUGCGGCAAAAGGCUCAUUUGAGCCCAGGAGUUCGAGACCUGCCUGGUUAACUUAGCAAGACCCUGCCUUUACAAAAGAAAAAGAAAAAUUAGCCAGGCAUGGUGGUGCACACCUGUAGACCCAGCUACUUGGGAGGCUGAGGUGGAAGGAUCGCUUGAGCCCAGGAGUUCAAGGCUGCAGUGAUCUGUGACUGUGCCAGUGCACUCCAGCCUUGACAACAGAGUGAGACUGUCUCCAAAAAGAACAGUCACUUCUGCCUAGGAAGGAUCAGCUGCUACAGAAAUUACUUCUCUUCAUAAAUAGAAAAUUGCACAAAACAUGAAAUAAUUGUUUUCAGGUCUUAUACAUGAGACAGAACAAGACUAUGUGCUUUGAGAGAAACGAAACCAAGGAAGGUGAGUCCUACAAUUGCUCCAGCUAGGAGGGAGUUUCCAGACUGUCACACAGAGAGGGAUUACCCAACAGAGUUUCAGAGUUGAAGAGAAAGAUAGCAAAGUACAGCAGAGGCCAGCAUCAAGAAUUCGCAGGAUGGAGUACUAAGAAGAGGAAGGUCCAUGGAGAAAGCUCUGUAGGUUUCUAGAGGGGCCCUUAUGAGUCUUUGGCUGAGUUCUAUCUGCACAUAUAUGGGACAAAACUCUUCCAGGUGUGAUGGCUCAUGACUGUAAUCCCAGCACUUUGGGAGGCUGAGGCAGGUGGAUUACCUGAGGUCAGGAGUUUGAGACCAGGCUGGCCAAUAUGGUGAAACCUUGUUUCUACUACAAUUACAAAAAUUGACUGGGCAUUGUGGCUCCUGCCUGUAUCCCAGCUACUGGGAGGCUGAGGCAGGAGAAUCCCUUGAACCUGCGAGGCAGAGGUUGCAGUAGCCGAGAUUGUGCCACUGCACUCCAGCCUGGGCAAUAGAGCGAGACUCUCAAAAGAAAAAAAAAAUACUCUAUGAGGCCUGGAAAAGAUCCACCCAAAAGCAGUAGGCCAAACACUUCUUGGAGUUCCUGAAGGGCAGGGAAUUGUGGAACCUUCCACAGAUUUGAAAGAUCUAGGGUAGGCGCAGUGGCUCAUGCCUAUAAUCCCAACACUUUGGGAGGCCAAGGCAAGCAGAACACCUGAGGUUGGAGGUCCAAGACCAUCCUGACCAAAUGGAGAAACCCUGUCUCUAUUCAAAAUACAAAAUUAGCAGGCAUGGUGGCGCACGCCUGUAAUCUCAGCUACUUGGGAGGCUGAGGCAGAAGAAUCACUUGAACACCGGAGGCAGAGGUUGUGGCGAGCUGAGAUUACACUAUCGCACUCCAGCCUGGGCAACAGAGCAAAACUCAAUCUCAAAAAAAAAAGUUCUAAUACAGUUGGCCUCAGAGAAGGUGCUCAGAGAAAGUAGUCAUAGCUCAGCAGUGGGGAUAUUACCCCUAGAGUAAAGGCUGUUCCUGGCCUAUCAUAAAACUUAAAACAAGCCUCAGAAGAAUCAAACUGAUCUCAAGUAACUUAAGUCUACCUUAGAAUAAAAUUUAAUACUGUCGAAUACAACAAAAUCCAGCACUCAACACUGUAAAAUUUCAACAUGUUCAACAUCUAAUCAAAAGUUGUAAGACAUUUAAAGAAGCAGGAUGUAUAACAACAGGCCAGGCACGGUGGCUCACACCUGUAAUCCCAGCACUUUGAGACGCUGAGGCUGGUGGAUCACCUGAAGCCAGGAGUUCCAGACCAGCCUGGCCAACAUAGUGAAACCCCAUCUCUACUAAAAAUACAAAAAUUAGCCAGGUGUGGGGGUGGGCACUUGUAAUUCCAGCUACUUGGGAGGCUGAGGCAGGAGAAUCACUUGAACUCAGGAGGCGGAGGUUGCAGUGAGCCAAAACUGCACCAUUGCACUCCAGCCUGGGCAAUGGAGCAAGACUCCAUCUCAAAAAAAAAAAAAAAUUCUAGAGAUGAAAAAUACAUUAAAUAUCCAUGAUGUUAUAACAUAAAAGCAAAAAAGAUCUUUGGUGACCUCUGAGAGAGUGUCUAAUAGUAGGGCAGGCUAGGAGUCAGAAUGUAAUGCAUGGAAGAUGGAAGAGGGGUGUAGAGUGGAAGAAGCUUUGAAUGUGGACCACUUGUUUAGGAAGUUUGGUCAUAAAAGGAAAUUAAGAAAUAAGACCGGGAAGGAGCCACAGUAUCAGCUGGAGGACUUUUUUGAGUAAAGGACAGGGGUAUGUGUGGCUUCAUGAUGGCCAAGAAAAGAGAACCAAUGGAAGGAACUAACCCAAGGUGUUGAAGAUGUGGGUAUACCAUCGUGCUGAGGAUGCCCUUGAGAUGGGGAGGGGAGGUUUUGCAGGGACAGAAAUAGAGACAUCUGUCUCAUUUGCCUGUGAUUCAAUUUGCUUCAUUCACAUGUCAUGGACCUAGCAGCAAAACACUUUUCCAAAUCUCUGCCUCUAGUGUAAAGAGCCCAGCUGCCCAACAGGUGGCUGAGUCCUACGUCUUGCCCUGAUCUGGAGCAUCAGCUCUGUGCUAUAGUGUGCUUCACUUAGGCUCUGGUGUAAGCCUCAGUUUUCUCAUUAGUGAAAUGGGGUUAACAAUAAUACUUCAUAGUGUUGCUGCUCAGCUACUGGUCUGAAGGCAGUGUCUCUGGUGUGUUUUGAGUCUGGUCCAUAUGAUCAGUGAUGUCACAAUGCCCUACUAGACUUCAGCUUCUCCACUAGGGAGUUGUGGAACCUUUGGAGCCAAGGACUCAAACAGACAUGCGAGACCUCUACCAACUGAAGGUUUAUGAACACACUCCUUUGCCAAGAUCUUGGUGAAUAGUCUUUCACUGUGCAAUUGUAUCUUAGAAAUUGUUUUCCUUUUGAUCAUGAUUGUGCUUGGCUGGAUGCUUUUUGUUGGACUUGCAUGUUACAUGGGCACGUUUCCAGAAUUAAUGCCUCCAACUCUGAAGUGGAAGGAGAGGUGGCCUGUUCUGGAGAGCAAGACACAGCUGAGGAGGUGGGCUUUAGAUGAAAAUCGGCUGCAAGAACCAUGUGGAAGGGAUAUAAAUAUCCCCCAGGAGGAACCCCAGUGGAAGUAAGCAAGGAUGAUCCUGGUGAAGUAAUGCAGCUCUGAAGCUCACCUGACCAGCUGUACAGUUCCUGUUAUUGGUUUCGCAUAAAGUAUAGAGGGAAGACCAUGUGAAGACACAGGGAGAAGACAGCCAUCUACAAACCAAGGAGAGAGACCUCAAGGUACAAACAGCUUGAUCGUGGAAUUCUAGCCUCCAGAAUUGUGAGAUAAUAAAUUUCUGUUGUUUAGGGCAUUGAGUCUG